rnacentral:misc_RNA from 1 species
AAGUCGUAACAAGGUUUCCGUAGGUGAACCUGCGGAAGGAUCAUUAACACUUGUUAACCCAAUAUCAACCAACUGUGAACUGUAGCAUCCCUAUUCGCCUUUCUUAUCAAUUUCGGUUGAUUCGAGAGGUGCGAUAGACAAUACCCCUACUAUUAACCCUAUAAUAUUAACUGUCUAAUCUUCAUAAUCUUACUUACUGCUUCGGUGGUGAAUAAGUUUUACGAAAUAUCGAACAACUCUUAGCAAUGGAUAUCUUGGGUCAU